GCCAGUUCAGGAUCCUCCGGAAGCCAAAAGGGGUCACCUUCAGCCAGGAGGAGCCAGAGUCUGGCCAAGAGCUGUCUGCGAUGGAGGCAACUCCCCUGCAAGUUCACAAGGCUCUGGUUGGUGGAGGUUUCUGGGGAGACAGUCUCAGAACUGCAGGACUUGGUGGAGGACAUGAGGCUUGUUUGUGAAGACAGAUCCAGAAAGAUGUUGGUGUGAAAAGAUGCAAAAAAUGGGCUGGAGAGGUAUCUCAGUAAAGUGCCUGCCUUGUAAACA